CCCUUAGAUGUUCUGGGCCGCACGCGCGCUACACUGACGAAGUCAGCGAGCAUGUCCUUCGCCGAAAGGUGCGGGGAAUCUUGUGAAACUUUGUCGUGCUGGGGAUUGAUUUUUGAAAUUCUUGAUCAUCAACGAGGAAUUCCUAGUAAGCGCAAGUCAGCAGCUUGCGUUGAUUACGUCCCUGCCCUUUGUACACACCGCCCGUCGCUACUACCGAUUGAAUGGUUUAGUGAGAAUUUUGGACUGGAACUCCCUUGCUCAGCAAUGGGCGAGGGGGAGUCCGGGAAGCUAUUCUAACUGUAUCAUUUAGAGGAAGUAAAAGUCGUAACA
rnacentral:rRNA from 1 species